GAGUAAUUGUGAAGUUUGCUGUGAUCCUUGGGUAAUUCAGAAGUUUGCUGUGAUCCUUGGGUUACAGACUCCCUUAAAUUUCAAGCUUCAAGAACUCGAUCUAAUUGUUAAGACUAGAUGUGCAGUACCUUCAUCUUAAUGCAGCUAUUGAUUCCAGCAUAGGCCUUAACCUAGCCCCUCUUUUUACAGUUACCAGCAACAAUUGGAAGUAAGGAUAUUAGUUUGUUUGGUGAAAUUGGAAUUGAAGUCCAUAUUAGGUAUGCCAUUACAUGCUUGAUCAGCGAUUCAGUUGGUUUGUAGUUUUCGAUUGCACUAAAUUUAUGAUGCAUUAGCAAUUAAGGAAGAAUUGCUCGAAGCUGUGAGGAAUUAAGGAGCAUAUUGAACA